rnacentral:rRNA from 1 species
AGUAAAUAGAUACCCUGGUAGUCCCAGCUGUAAACGAUGCGCGUUAGGUGUAUCGGUGACCACGAGUCACCGAGGUGCCGAAAGGGAAACCGUGAAACGUGCCGCCUGGGAAGUACGGUCGCAAGGCUGAAACUUAAAGGAAUUGGCGGGGGAGCACCACAACAGGUGGAGCCUGCGGUUUAAAUCGGACUCAACGCCGGGAAGCUCACCGGAUAAGACAGCUGAAUGAUAGCCGGGUUGAAGACUCUGCUUGACUAGCUGAGAGGAGGUGCAUGGCCGUCGUCAGUUCGUACUGUGAAGCAUCCUGUUAAGUCAGGCAACGAGCGAGACCCACGCCAACAGUUGCCAGCAUGUCCUCCGGGAUGGUGGGGACACUGUUGGGACCGCCUCUGCUAAAGAGGAGGAAGGAAUGGGCAACGGUAGGUCAGCAUGCCCCGAAUUAUCCGGGCUACACGCGGGCUACAAUGGUCAGGACAAUGGGUAUCAACACCGAAAGGUGAAGGCAAUCUCCUAAACCUGUCCUUAGUUCGGAUUGUGGGCU